rnacentral:rRNA from 1 species
UACGUGGGGUGCAGGCGUUAAUCGGAUUUACUGGGCGUAAAGCGUGCGCAGGCGGAUUGUUAAGCAAGAUGUGAAAUCCCCGGGCUUAACCUGGGAACUGCAUUUGUGACUGCAAGGCUAGAGUACGGCAGAGGGGGGUAGAAUUCCACGUGUAGCAGUGAAAUGCGUAGAUAUGUGGAGGAAUACCGAUGGCGAAGGCAGCCCCCUGGGUCGACACUGACGCUCAUGCACGAAAGCGUGGGGAGCAAACAGG